rnacentral:rRNA from 1 species
CAAAGAAUUCAUAAUGUCCAGCAAGUCUGUUCCGCAGAGGUCCAGAUUUUCUUCGAAUACGUACAUGCUCUUUGUACCAAUGUUCAUUUCUGAUGGCGCUUCCCUCUACUUCUCGGCAUUACGGCCCUGCCCUUUGACGCCGAUUCAAGUGUUCAGGACAUGGAACACCUCAGCCCAUUUCCUCAGACAGGAACUUAGCAAGAUAGUCAUUUACUGUUACAACGUGAACGCCCUUUCCUGUAAGAGAGUUAGCAUAAGCCGCCAGACAGGCAACGAGAGUUUUACCUUCACCUGUUUUCAUUUCGGCGAUACGUCCCUGCCCUUUGUACGAGUUCUUAGUUGGUGGAGCGAUUUGUCUGCAUCAUUCCGAUAACGAACGAGACUCUAGCAUGCUAACUAGUUACGCGACCCCCGAGCGGUCGGCGUCCCCCAACUUCUUAGAGGGACAAGUGGCGUUCAGCCACCCGAGAUUGAGCAAUAACAGGUCUGUGAUGCCCUUAGAUGUCCGGGGCUGCACGCGCGCUACACUGACUGGCUCAGCGUGUGCCUACCCUACGCCGGCAGGCGCGGGUAACCCGUUGAACCCCAUUCGUGAUGGGGAUCGGGGAUUGCAAUUAUUCCCCAUGAACGAGGAAUCCCAGUAAGUGCGGGUCAUAAACUUGCGUUGAUUACGUCCCUGCCCUUUUGUAC